rnacentral:lncRNA from 1 species
CUUGUUCCGCGGAGGGUGGGGCGGUCUCUGCUUGCGCAUGCGCAAUGCCAGCCAGUGCCUGCGCGGCUUGCUCCAGCAAGGUAAAAUUUCCCACUGCGAGGCAGGCAGUGAUGCUGCGGCCGCUUCGCACUGUGGCUCCUGCCGACCGCCAGGCGCUGUUACAGUGGAUGCGAACUAACCGUAAGUCAUUAUAUCGUACUGCAGAAACCAGCUCAACUAUGCAAAACUACCACCAGGACUGGCCGACACCAGGAGGGAUUCCAGAGACCACACUGCAGGGAGCAUACAGAAAGAAAAUUAAGAGAUCAGAUGCAGCAGCAGCCGGAACCCACAGUUCACCUUGGUGCAUUCCUUUAUGAUGAAGACUUAUUGAUUCAUUAUAUGAGAAAGGAAAAAUGAGCAGAAACUACUGUAUGAUGUGCAGCUCACACCAGACAGCAACUUUAGCACAUGUGCCUCACUCUUCAUGGUAAAUGUUUUACUGAAGAAUAACAUACAGAAAAGUGGACAAGUCUUAACUGCACAGCUCAAUGAAUUUCCAUGAAGUAAAUAUACCCAUAUGAUAAUCCAGCUCAAGAAACAGAAAAUCACUACCACCCCAGAAGACUGCCUUAUACUACCAUCUUUUAAGAGUGAAUCACACAUGGGGUACUCCUUGUAUCUGGCCUCUUUCUUUUUUUCUUUCUUUUUAAUUAUUAUUUUUGUUUGAGAUGGAGUCUCAUUCUGUCACCCAGGCUAGA